CAUGAUCGCUCCACUUGGACUUGGCUCUCUGACCAUGUUCUCUAAAUCUUCACAGUUUCUUUUUGGAACCUUUCAACCUUUCAAGCUUCUAUGCUCCAACGUUAGAAAUUAAUCAGGAUUGCAAUAGAGCCCUCGUCCAUGGGCUUGAACGCCGCCUUUGCCUCUCUAGGCGGAAACACCCAGUCAUCGAAGACGCCUACACACCCAGCCAGCCUUGAGAAGUGAUGUUACAGGGUUGUUUGGCUGGAGCCGGAGACGAACAUGGCGGAGGCGACCAUCAAGAAUUUGUCAAUGGCAGGAGCCUACAGCAACUGGAGCGGAGCUGUGCGUGCUGGAGAUCGAGGCGAUCCUGGCGUCCUGGGCAGCGAGGAAGAGGAUCGAGAAGCAGCUCCCAGGUGCUCCUGGGCAGCGUGGAAGAGGAUCGAGCGGAGCUGCGCGUGCUGGGGAUCCUGGCGACCUCGGGAUUGAGGGGACCAAGGGAUCAAGGGCCUGGGGAGGAGAAGCAACGCCCAGGUUUGGAGGCCAGGAGGAGCACUAGCGACCUGGGGAGGGGUAGAAGCAGCGACGACCCUGGAUCCCUUCUCAGUGCUCCUCGUGGGCGAGGGAUCGUGGAGGCCUGGGCGCGAGGUGGAGUCACCGGCGGAGGGUGAAGUGCGAUCGACGAAGGGCGAAGGCGGAGGCGGAGGGCGAUCGACGGAGAGCGACUCGAAAUCUAGGAAGAGCGAUUCUAAAUCUAGGAAGGUACCGAUUCAAAAUCUGAGAAGGGCAAUAUUGUCUUUUUUCCUGUUUUCACCUGGUCGGAAAUAUUCUCCCAACGUCUUAUAUAUCUGCACGGAGGGAGUACCAGAGAGGAGCGGGGCGCCGAGCGGCGCCGACGUGGCAGUCGCCACACAGCUCAGGAGGAGAGACGAUGUCGUAGACGGCGGCGCGGCCGUACCCAUCGGACCUUCUCCCUAACAUCUGGCUCCCUUCUUCCCCUCCGGAAUAACCCUGGCGACAAGGGUGGCCGCUGGAUCUCCUAUGCCAGCCAUCGAGCUCGCCCCGAUGACGAGACAGCGCUCAGCCUCCGGUACGUCUCCGCCUCCAGUUCGACUUCGUUGGUCGAGGACAGCCUCCCAUCUCCAUCUAUCCUGACUUCUGCGAUUCUUCCAGCUACAUGUACACAUCCAUAAAGAGCUUGAACGAGGCCAAAUGUAAAUUUGGGAGACGCUUGCUGGGAAAGUGUAGUCCAUACAUGACGAUGGUCCGUCAUUAGGUAUCCAGGUGAGGGCUUCUCGAUCAUCUCUUCAACAUGAAAUUGUUCAGUUGUUUGUGAGGAUGAUUUGUGUUGGGAUGGUGCGAGCGAGAGGACUUUGACGCUAACCGCCUUGCCGCAUGGAGGGUACGGUGCCGGUGAUGUUCCGGAGGGAUGACGGAAUAGAACCCAGCUACUCUUGGGUACGCCAUCCACAACAAGGAGAGCGCGGGAGAGGAUCGAUCGCCAAUGCCAGGGAGUGAUACUGAGACUGGUGCAGAUGAUUAAUCCUACUGGGUUAUAUCUGCAUUAGCCCAUUCAUGGACAUUGAAGAAUCCAGAUGAAGACAUUAUGUCAUUGAAAGGUGUUGGUCUUGAUGCUACGGAGGUUUACAGAUGUGAUAGGAAUGUUGAUGGCACCGAAUCCAGUGUGCCUUCACGCUGCCAAACACAGCGUGAUGGGGCAAGAGAGGAACAGAACCGGUGAAGGAUGAGCAGCGGAACGGGAGGUUGUUCCUGCCACCAUGCAAGGAGGGGCACAUGCCGUUCCGGUGCGGAAACUGCAAGGAGGGGGGGCAUCGUGGUACCGAUGACCUGUCCCGGGCCCCGAUGCUGCUAUAAGUGCUCCACGCGUCACCGGCUCCUGCUGCCCGCUCCAUGACAAGUCCGAGAGGGACACAAGGCCAGCUCUGACUCCUUCCCAACCCGGAUAAAUAGCUUCACGAAGUCUUCCAGAAUCCAGGUCGUGGCUGACCUCACCAGCUGCUUGGGAAUUUUUGUUCCGACACAGCCGAAGCUGGCAUACACGAUGGAGUUCGGGACUUACCUGUCCAGCCACGCUGUUAUCGCGCUCUCGCUGACGGCGGGCUUGCAACCUCCUAGCAAAUGCCAUGAAUCUCGGUUGGUUGUGCUGAAUUCAGUGCCUAUUGUUGGUCCAACGACUUGCUUAUCUGUUUCAGCAAGCCAAGACAGAAGG